rnacentral:rRNA from 1 species
UACAGAGGGUGCGAGCGUUAAUCGGAAUUACUGGGCGUAAAGCGCACGUAGACGGUCUUGUAAGUCGGGUGUGAAAGCCCCGGGCUUAACCUGGGAACUGCAUUCGAGACUGCAUUACUGGAGUAUGGGAGAGGGCAGUGGAAUUUCCGGUGUAGCGGUGAAAUGCGUAGAUAUCGGAAGGAACAUCAGUGGCGAAAGCGACUGCCUGGCCCAAUACUGACGUUCAUGUGCGAAAGCGUGGGGAGCAAACAGGAUUAGAAACCCGCGUAGUCC